ACAGCAAUAUAUUCAUAAAUACCUAAUUACUACAUUCAACAAAUAAUAUUACAAUACAGUUAAUUCAAACAAGUACACUUAGAACAGGUUUAAUUUCACAGCAUCUAAACUGCCCCCAGAGUGACCGAGGCACCGUUCCUCCUCCCCCGAGUCCUGGUUGGCUGUCCUGGCAGUUAGCAGCACCACGGGCUGGUAGCAUGGGCCUCAGGCUACUGCAAGCAGUGAUGUCGAUAGCGUGGCUACUAGAAGAGUAGGGGGCUGCUGCUAAGUGGCUACUCUACACUGUAAGAGGAGCAACUUCCUGUGCUAGCCAUCCCCAUCUGGUGGUGGGUCCCCGGAACUGUCUACACUUUUAAACCGUGGCUCAGAGGGAAACGGGGUAUGUGGCUUAGAUUUAGAGAUGGGGCAGCAUCGCGAGCUACUCGAUGGAAUGCCACCCCACGCACAGACUCAGAUUACCUGUUGUUAUUCUUUGCUAGUUUGCUAAAGGGGGCUCCUUUUAAUAGUCUUUGAAUUUCCCUGAGGAUAUAAUCUUUAUUAGCACUUUGCAUGCUGCCAAUUGUUGCAUUUCCUUUAGAAUAUAGACUAAACUAUUGGUCAUUUAUGUGAGAUAAUAGAUUAUGAUACUUUAUGCCAGUUUGCCUGUUUCUAUGAAACACUCAUUUUCAAAUGAUCAAGUCGUGCAGUGCCAAGUGUGGGAGGGAAACUCUAGUUACUACUGAUCUGAUUAAAUGCACAGAGCCACACGACUCAGCUUUGGCAGGUACC
rnacentral:lncRNA from 1 species